rnacentral:lncRNA from 1 species
UUUUGUACGUACGUUCCGAGUUUGGUUGUUGGGAUGGUGGUGAGGAGGGUUUUGAUGGCGGUUGACAUGGCGGUGCUAUAGGUGGUUAAGUUAGUUGGACUGUUGGAGACAUGGAUUUAGGGUUUAGGAAGACAACCUGGAAGAAUUAUGUGUUUGGAUUGGUGAGAAGAAUGGUCCAAGGCUCUAAGUGGGCCCUAAUGGAAUUUUCCAUUGUCUUUGUCUUUCUUCAUCUCAGGACUUAAAUAUUGAUAAUUAUUAGGGCUCCCACUUGGUUUGGUGAAUACCAAACCGAUCGAAAAUUUAUGAUUUGGUAAACCGAAUUUUGGUAAUCGAAAUAAAAAAAACCAAAACCAAGAAAUACCGAAAAAGUUGGUUUGGUUUUUGGUAAAUACUGAAUUUACCGAAAUUCUAAUUAUUUAAAGACUUGUAUUUCUAAAAACACACAGACUAAUAAUUUUAUCUCACGUUUUCAAUUAUAUAUACCAUUUAGUAAAAUACAAGACAAUGAAUAGAAAAAUUCAACUAUACUUGGUAGCAUUCGGGUCUCAAUUAAAGCGAUCAACUUUAAUUCAAUGUUACUUGUUAUAUAAAAACGCUCUUACCUACCCGUCUUAGUCGAUUCAUCACACACACACAUAGACAAACCCACUUAGAUGACAUGUAACCGCCCAUGUAAAAAUUUAGGAAUGUUUUUACCUCUCUUGAUGAUAGGGCUCCCCAUUGGAAGCACAAGCGUAAAUAAGGUUAGCCGCCUUGAUCAAGGCCAAACAUUAUCAAAAAUACCUAAUUUUUCUACCAUAGUUGUAUUUCACUAUAUUGAUCACAUCAUAGUUCACAAGGUUUUUGAAAAUUUUACUUCCUCUUUGUAGUUGGUUCACAAAGAUGUAUAUAUGCAUAUAACUUACUAAAUAAGUUAUACCACAUUACCAGGCAUGUUGUGGUUCCAAUGAUUACAAUUCACAAAAUUAAAAUUCGACCGUCUGAUGUGAUCAUUAUAGUAUAAUACAAUUAUGAUAGAAAAUUCAAUUGUACUCAAUAAUGUUCGGGUCUUGAUCAAAGCGGUCAACCAU